rnacentral:pre_miRNA from 1 species
GACUUGGUCAAAGCUCCUCAGCUGACAUGUAUGUGAAUCCUGAGGCGUUUAGAACAAGUUCA